CCUGUUUGGUGACAGCGGAGGGACAUUACCGAGUUUACAACUCCCAAACCCAAUGUGAACCAUACCAAACUGUUGCCUCGGCGGGGUCACGCCCCGGGUGCGUCGCAGCCCCGGAACCAGGCGCCCGCCGGAGGGACCAACCAAACUCUUUUCUGUAGUCCCCUCGCGGACGUUAUUUCUUACAGCUCUGAGCAAAAAUUCAAAAUGAAUCAAAACUUUCAACAACGGAUCUCUUGGUUCUGGCAUCGAUGAAGAACGCAGCGAAAUGCGAUAAGUAAUGUGAAUUGCAGAAUUCAGUGAAUCAUCGAAUCUUUGAACGCACAUUGCGCCCGCCAGUAUUCUGGCGGGCAUGCCUGUCCGAGCGUCAUUUCAACCCUCGAACCCCUCCGGGGGGUCGGCGUUGGGGAUCGGGAACCCCUAAGACGGGAUCCCGGCCCCGAAAUACAGUGGCGGUCUCGCCGCAGCCUCUCCUGCGCAGUAGUUUGCACAACUCGCACCGGGAGCGCGGCGCGUCCACGUCCGUAAAACACCCAACUUCUGAAAUGUUGACCUCGGAUCAGGUAGGAAUACCCGCUGAACUUAAGCAUAUCAAUAGCCGGGAGGAAAAUUAUCAACUCCUUUACCUUU
rnacentral:rRNA from 1 species